UUGUCUUUAAGGUGCAGUACUUUUAAUUACUGAUGUGACUAGUGUGACUGCUUCAUACUUCAUACUAUACUUAUGUCCGACAAAAAAGUGUUGUUGACAUGUGUGUAUUUCAAAUGAUUCCAAUAGGAUUAAUACAUGUGGGUUCAGUGUAGAGUUGAGUACAGAGACAGUAUUUCCAUAGAGAGGAGGGUCACAUGGUCAGCUGAUCCUUCCUGAGUUUUAAAGUGAGAUGAAGACUGCACCACUCACAUGUGUCAGUGGACGCACCAUGGCUCUGGGCUGCACCAUCCUCAUCUGGACACUGGCCUGCUGCUGCUUCACAGGAUGCAGUGGUCAGGUCACAGUCACUCAACCUCCAGUCCAGACAGUUACUCCUGGAUCCACCGUCACUCUCACAUGUAAAACUAACAAAGAUGUUUAUGGCAAUGACCGCAUGCACUGGUAUCAGCAGAAACCUGGUCAGACUCCAAAGCUCUGGAUAAAAUAUGCUACACAACGUCUGUCAGAAACUCCAUCUCGGUUCAGUGGCAGUGGGAGUCACAGUGACUUCUCUUUGACCAUCACUGGAGUUCAGGCUGAAGAUGCAGCAGUUUAUUACUGUCAGAGUUAUCAUAGCGGUGCUGUGUUCACACAGUGAUUUGUGCUCGUACAAAAACCUCCCUCAGUGAGUCGUUCAGAGUGAGACCAGAGCAGGAAACAACUGCAGCUGCUCAAGAGGAACUCACAUCACUGAUCUGUGUGGAGUUACACCAAAUAUUCACUUAUGCUUAAUCUAAUUUAUAUUUCUCAUCAAUAUUUAUAUUUCUCUUUUAUUUGAGGGUGGGACAGUUAGCAUUAAUAGAUAACAUUUGUCAUUAAUUUUUUUAUAUCUUCACUUACAUGUGCAUUGAUCUAAUGCAGCAAUGAAACAUGAAAGUUAUAAAAUACAGUUAUUAAAAACAAAUGUUGUGACAUAA